UGCAUACUGUUGUUAGAAAAGGGGUCAGCAAGUUGCUGAAAAAGAGAGUCAUAAGGUAAGGUAAAAACUGAAAAUGAAUAACAUGCAUUUCAUAAACAGGAUCAUGGACACAUAAAUGAAUAGGAUAAUAACACCCAUGUGGAGCGAAAGAAUACAAUAUGUCUACAUUACAAACACAGGAGGAACAUAUUGAGCAGCAAGUACCAAGUGAGGAUUUAACCUGUCAAGCAGUGGAAGCCCAGACUGGAACUGUAUCGUACACACCAGAUGAUGCUGCCCGGAUCUUGUUCGCACCAAUCUCCAAGACAGUUGAGUCUGGGGAGGAGGCAGCACAACAAAUACAGCCUCCUCCAUCUCCCCGGGAUGAGAG